rnacentral:rRNA from 1 species
GACGAACGCUGGCGGCGUGCCUAAUACAUGCAAGUCGAACGGAAAGGCCAUGCUUUUGUGGCGUGCUCGAUUGGCGAACGGGUGAGAAACACGCGAGUAACCUGCCCUUAUAUUUGGGAUAAAUUUAGGAAAAUGGGGCUCAUAUCGGAUAGGAGCUCUUGCUGCACGGUGGGGGUUGGAAAGUUUCGGCGGUUGGGGCUGGUCUCGAGGCUUAUCAGCUUGUUGGUGGGGUAGUGGCUUACCAAGGCUUUGACGGGUAGCCGGCCUGAGAGGGUGACCGGCCACAUUGGGACUAAGGUACGGCGCAGUCUCGUACGGGAGGCAGCAGUGGGGAGUAUUGCAGAGUAGGCGGGAGCCUGAUACGGCAGCGCCGCGUGCGUGAUGACGGCCUUCGGGUUGUAAACCGCUUUCGCAUGAGACGUAGAGUGAGUGACGGUAAUGAGUAAAGAAGCACCGGCUAACUACGUG